GCAGCGCGGCCGGUGGGGACUGCGGGGCGGGCCGGAGUCCGUCCGAGGGCUCCCGCACCUCGGGCUGCGGAUUUCAGGUACUCCACUGGGCAUUUUCUCUUCAUGGAGCUUAUAGCAACAAAAGUGUUUUACAAAACACCAGACAUGUUGGCAUCAUCUCUUAGUUGGGCCAUGUGGCCAGGGAACCCUUCAUGAAACCACCUCUGCAGUCCUGGAGAGUUGCUGUAGAAGAAGGAAAAGAGAGGAAGACAACACAACACAGGAGGGGAUAAGUACCUCUGGACACAAUGGAAGUAGUAGUUGUUGAGCAGAGGGAAAGGGAUAGGAGAAGGAUGUGGACUGCAGUGCUGCAGUGCCAGACCAUUUUUUGUAAGGAAUCAUUUUAUCAACUAGGAUGACAAGAGGCCUCUCCCAUCCUGGUUGCACAUCACUUUCUAUAACAGAGAGACAUGGGCCAGAAGCCCUGAUGGAGAAAGCAGCCAAUGUCCCUUACAUUUCCACCUUUGGCUUGAAAAAAAGAUCUGUGCACUAAAUACAGGGAAAAAAAAAUGAAGUUAGGCUGGAAGAAGAAAGACAUUGUUACAUGGUAAAAUUGGAAAGAUUCAUACCAACAGUACGGGAUAAAGCAGGGGUCCCCAGCCCCUGGGCCACGGAACUGGACUGGUCCAGGGCCUGUUAGGAACUGGACUGCCCAGCAGGAGGUGAGUGGUAGGAAAUGAGCAUCACAGCCUGAGCUCCGCCUCCUGUCAGAUCAGUGGUGGCAUUACAUUCUCAUAGGAGUGCCAACCCUAUUGUGAACUGCACAUGUGAGGGAUCUAGGUUGCCCGCUCCUUAAGAGAAUGUAACUAAUGCUUGAUGAUCUGAGGUGGAAUAGUUUCAUCCUGAAACCAUACCCCCACUAAGCCCCCGCAUCCAUGAAAAAAUUGUUUUCCAUGAAACUGGUCCCUGCUGCCAAAAAGGCUGGGGACCGGUGGUAUAAAGUACGUCUGAGAAUGUAUACUUACUGAGAAUGUACCUUUAUACCCUGUAAGAUACCAUAGUGUUUUAUCAUUUUAUAAAAGCUGAGGCUCAGAGAGGGUUCUAAGAGUACUCAAGGUCACAAAGUUAAUCAACUGUCUAGGGAAGCUAGAAUUUCAAGUGAACCCUAUCUCUAAUUUGGCUCAAGAAAGAAUUUAAAUUUAAAUGACCAGAUGUAAUUUUCAAAUUUGUAUACAUGUUACAUGAGUACAUUCUCCUUUUAAAAUAUUGCCAAUAAGGUUGAAAUCAUCUUUGAUACCCAAGUUCUAGUCCCAUCCCCUCCUCUUUUCUCCAGUGGUGACUCACACUAUCGUUUCCAGAUAUCCCUCCCUGUCACACACGCGUGCACAUAUACUGUGUUAAAUACAGAGAUGGGUGGUCGCUUACCUGUGUGUUUGAUACAUAAUAGUAUUUGGUCAAAGUAACUUUUAUACUGGUAAAACCUCUUCAUUGGAACAAUAAUGCCUCAUCAAAAUCUGAACUCAUACCACUAAGUAUUAUUAUAAUAAUUUGGUAUUCUAUAGCAGUAACAGUUAUUUCCAAAGACAUUCCAAUAUGCCUGUAGUAAAUAUUCUAGAUUUAAUUAAAAUAUUGGCAGGACUACCGUUUUCCAGAUUAAAUUAAAAAGCAAUUAUUAGCAUUGCAGAUUAAGUUUUUAAAUGAAUAUUUCAAUUCAGCGACACUGGCUAGAAUAUCUUCUGUUUUGUCACAGUGUCACAGAUCC
rnacentral:lncRNA from 1 species